rnacentral:piRNA from 1 species
UAAGGAUCCUGUUCAAUCCAUGGUUACCUUC